rnacentral:rRNA from 1 species
AUUGAACGCUGGCGGCAUGCCUUACACAUGCAAGUCGAACGGCAGCACGGGGCAACCUGGUGGCGAGUGGCGAACGGGUGAGUAAUGCAUCGGAACGUACCUUUCAGUGGGGGAUAACGUAGCGAAAGUUACGCUAAUACCGCAUAUUCUGUGAGCAGGAAAGCAGGGGAACUCAAGACCUUGAGCCGAUGGAGCGGGCGAUAUCAGAGUAGGUAGUUGGUGAGGUAAAGGCUCACCAAGGCGACGAUCCGUAGCGGGUCGGAGAGGAUGAUCCGCCACACUGGAACUGAGACACGGUCCAGACUCCGACGGGAGGCAGAAGUGGGGAAUUUUGGACAAUGGGGGCAACCCUGAUCCAGCCAUGCCGCGUGAGUGAAGAAGGCCCUCGGGUUGUAAAACUCUUUCGGCCGGGAAGAAAUCGCACGGGCUAAUACCCUGUGUGGAUGACGGUACCGGAAUAAGAAGCACCGGCUAACUACGUGCCAGCAGCCGCGGUAAAAC